rnacentral:lncRNA from 1 species
AGUUUUAAAUCCAGCUUUUCAUAUUACGAUCCUUAAUGAGGGACCCCACAAUAUCAGAUGAAGAAAGACAAAGAGAAUUUUUGAUGAAAAAAAAAUCAGGGAAAAGGAAAAGAUGACUGAGAAUAUGCAAACUUUGUCUGCCGAUGUUUGCGCACAGGGAGAAUGCUGAAGGGACUUCUUUCCCCCUCUAACCACCUAUUAAGGAAGGCUGCAUAACAAAUAGCAGACUAUCCCCUCAAGAGCUGAAAGUUUCUCAAAGACGAAGCUUUUUUAAAAAAAUUUUUGGGCCUGUAUCUAUCAGGCUUUCUUUCUUUUCCAACAAAAUGUCCCGUUCAGCGCUCUAAUAUUGAGAUAAUGAGAGGUGAUAAAGUCAAAGAACCACCUUCUUGGAAACACCUGAAGUAGUUACACUGACACUCUUCCAUCCCCACUCCUCGGAGCUCUGCCAGCAAGCAGCACUUGGAGCAUCAAAUUGUAAAGUUCCAGCAUCCCAGGGCAUCUAAAGUGUCAUUUCCUCUCUGGAAAGAAAGGAAGCAGAAAACAUGCUAGGCUUCAGCUGAGGCCCCACUUUCUGCCUGACUAAGAAGAUGACCAAGUGAUGACUGCCUUCUCUGACCUCUUGGCUCUAUCAGCACUGUAGUACCAGCAUUUCUCAGACGCCGUUUCCUGUUGGUGUGAAUUACUCUCUGACAAGAUUGUAAACCCCAGGGCAGGGUUGGGGGAAAAUAAUUUCGGACAAUUCUUUUGUAUUUUGGAUCCUUAAAGUGAAUAGUUUGCUCACUUAAAUGCAGUAUCGCGUCUUGAUUGUUCCUGGGUUUAGGUCGAGACAUUUAGGCUGUGAAUAGCCAAUUAAUAUGCCUCAGGUCAAGGCAGGAGAAAGGAAAUCAACUUUUUGUUGUGUUUACUGUGUUCAAGAAAUCAAGAAAUCAUG